CCUGUAAUUUCUCUAUUUAUUAUUACCAUGCCUAGGAUUUGAUUUGGUUUAUGGUUGAAACUAGAGAGAUCUAUCCUAUAGGUAGAUAACUCUUAUCCUCUUGGAGAUAAACAUUACAGAUAAUCUCAAAAUCUUAUCACAAUUAAACUAGUUUUUCUCAUAAAACUUAGACUUGGGUCCAGUGUGCACGGGACCUAUCAAGAUUAUAAUAAUUAACCAUAGGUGAACACAUGUCAUAAGUUUGACAUAUGUCUUCAAUCAAGUGAAAGAUUUUUCGACUCUAAUAGACUUUGUAUGAUAUGGAAUUCUUUUUUACUAUAAAAAAAUGAAAUUUUUAGUGUAAAGUUAUUAAUCUCACAUCACGUUUCAUGCCACGAUAAAAAUAAUAUCACGUAUACCAUAAGUUUGUUAGGACUAUCAUUUUGGGGCAGCACCUUAAUUGAAGCACUACUCCUACUAAGCAAUAAAAGAACUCGUAUAUUUGUUCAAAAAAAAAAAAACUCGUAUAUUUCAGUUUCUUCUCAAGAAAAAAAAAAAAAAAAAAAAAAAAAAACUCGUAUAAAAAGGGCUCAACGGUCAUGAUGAAUGAUAGAUAGCUCCUAGUCACCUAUUUGUCAAAUAACGUGAGGCUGGAGCGGAAACACAUAAUAGAAGUAACUCAGAUUCUCCUUAAUCUUCUUAGAAAAGAAAAAAAGAUUCCCUUAAUCUGAAACCGAUUUUCUCUUAAGCCUCGUCAUUUUUUGGUCAGUUAGCGAAGACUCAUCAGUUCCCUUAGUUGGCCAACCCCUUUUCUUCGCUUCCAGAGAGAGAGAGAAUCGGGUGUGCCUUUCGGCAUCAGAAACGAGGGAUGAAAAGGGGUUAGGACUUAUGAGAGAGAUGUGGAGAAGAGAAAAGGCAAGAAAAGAAAAGACUGUUGAAAGGAGUGGAGGCAUAUACAUAUAGCAUAGAGGGGGGUUUCAUCAGAAACGAGGUGAAUGGGGAAGAAUAACUAUGAUGAUCCUUUGAUCCUUCUAAAUAUACUACUACCCAUGUCAAUGAACCAUCCAAUCUCUGAUUAUUUAUCCGUAUUUUUUGAGUCUCUCUCAGUCUGAAACCACCUCUCUUUCACUUUCCUUAUCAAUUAUUAUUAUUAAUUACACCCCCAUCCCUCUCUCUCUCUCUCUCUCUCUUAUUUACUGUACUUGAUCCAUCACAUCUUAAAUAGAACCCAUCUGCCCCCUCUCCUUUCUCCCAUACACAUUAUUACCCACUCUCUCCCCUUCUGCGUGUGUAUAUAUGAGUUUGAAUGUGUGUGUGUGUGUGUGUGUGUGUGUGGAUCUUCAAAUGGUGAAUACAAGGACUGUGCUUUGCUUUCAUGUGGGUUUAGCAAAGGGUUUCUAACAAAGUUUAUUGGCAUUCUGUCCACCUCCAUCAAUAUAAGAAAAACAUUGUCCAUGUAUCUCUCCCUCUCUCUCUCUCUCUCUCUCAUGGAGGUGGGCAGACUGCCAAGUGAGCUAUGUUGGCUUCUCUUUGUAAGACCCUCGUGAUAUAUGAUGUUUCGCCUCCAGCUUUAGCUGUUCUCAACUGUUGUGUGAUAGAGACCAAGUGGCAGUUUCCGGACUUUGAUGCUUAUCCACUUGAGAGCACCCGAACUUUACUCUUGUUUUGUUCCAUGUUGUGUACUACAAUUUCUCCUUGUGUAAUCUAUGUUGCAGGUUGAGAUGUCUUGUCUUUUUAUAUGGACUUGAUUACAAACAUCAUGCACGGACUCUUCGGUUUCUGUUUGAUCAUAUAUAUGUAGAUCUUGUUUGGCUGCAAUUUGGGAACCCCUAGUUUUCUGACCUUUUUUGGUUUCUCUCACCAAACGUUUUCAAGAGGGUCUUGUUUUUCACUCUAAUUUCUUGUUUGUAUUCUGGCCUAGGGUUUUUUUUUUUUUAGUCUCUUUUUUUCUGUGCAUCUAAUUCAGGGAAGCUUCAAGAGAGGGGGAAAAAAAGCUUUUGAAGGAUGAAAUCAAGAAGGUCUACCUGUUCAUUUUACACAGGAAAAAAAAAAAAAAAAAAAUAGAAUUUGAAAAAGUGGAGGCUAAAGUGGAAAUCAGAAGACACGCAUUGCUUACCAAAAAAAGAGAACAAAGACAUUAUUUUGUCAGGUCUCAUGAGACCGAAAUGAUGACUCCAUUGAAGGGCUUCAAGCCGGACCUUGCCUUUAUAAUGGUCUUCAUUGUUUAUUGCCUUUAUGUAUAAUCAUGUUAAUUAUAAGAUCAUAGUCAAAGGAUAUUGAGAUUUCAAUCUUCAUAGCUUCA